UGCAUCCCAGACUUCACCUUAACUCUACUUACCCCACUGAAGAAUCUUGAUGGCUUUUGCUAGUUAAUCUAUGUUUGCAGUACAGCAGGUGUCACAGGCCUACUCUAUUAAAUUUCAGAGAUGGGGCAUUUGGCCUUGUUACCUCCUCCCAGAAUAGUCCUCGGGCGAUCCUAAUUCUUGGAGAAGACACAAUUCGUCACCUUUCUUCUUCUUGGUGGAUCCAAUUCAAGAGUUGUUGCAUCAAAAAAAGAAACGCCUCCCCCUCAGCCAACCCACUGAUAAAUCUCCACCAACCUGGCUGGGCUGGUCUUCAGAAGAAGGGCCUGCAGUUCAUUACCAGGCCAGAGCUCAAAGCCUUUUCAGUUUAGCAAGACCUUCCAGAGUUUGUAUACUACUUCCAAGAAUCAAGGAUAUCCUUAAAACCCUGAGGAGAAACAGAGGUGAUUCCACCAAAGCUAUUUUCUCUGCAAGAAGUUGGAGGAGUAAUGGAGGUGUCUGCUGAAGUUUAGACCUAGAGGACGAACUUCAGGGGCAUCUGACAUUCCAGUGGCAUUGACUAAGAGUGAGAAUAAUGAGUAUUGUCUGAGACAAGUCAAGAUGUGAGCUGAAACAAGGCUAGUCCUCAGCACUGGAUUUUGAAUGAAUGUCCUGUUCUUCACCCCAGCUGCAGUGAGACCCAGCUACAUCUUGCCCUAUCAAAUAAUAAGAUUCAUGAGCUUCAAGUCUUAUGAGAGUCAUGAAACUUUUGGAGGAGUUUGUUUUCCAAGCUGCCCUGGGGAAGGGGGGGAGAAGAGAAGGACAUUGUACUCGUCAUCUAUGAAAUGAAGGGGGUUGUUCUAAAGUUUUAUAGGUUCCUUCUACUAAGGGAUAUGCUAGAUCCAACUAGAACCACUCCCAAAAGCUGAUUGCUAAAUUUUCAAUAUGAGCAUUUAAACUCUGGAAAUCAGCAAAUGAUAAGAAUCAGAUCUUAAUCUAUUGUUUUGUGGGUUGUUUAGACUUGAGAAAGU